UGAACGCUGUCGGCGUGCCUACUACAUGCACGUCGAGCGAACAGACGAGGAGCUUGCUCCUCUGACGUUAGCGGCGGACGGGUGAGUAACACGUGGAUAACCUACCUAUAAGACUGGGAUAACUUCGGGAAACCGGAGCUAAUACCGGAUAAUAUAUUGAACCGCAUGGUUCAAUAUUGAAAGACGGUUUUGCUGUCACUUAUAGAUGGAUCCGCGCCGCAUUAGCUAGUUGGUAAGGUAACGGCUUACCAAGGCAACGAUGCGUAGCCGACCUGAGAGGGUGAUCGGCCACACUGGAACUGAGACACGGUCCAGACUCCUACGGGAGGCAGCAGUAGGGAAUCUUCCGCAAUGGGCGAAAGCCUGACGGAGCAACGCCGCGUGAGUGAUGAAGGUCUUCGGAUCGUAAAACUCUGUUAUUAGGGAAGAACAAAUGUGUAAGUAACUAUGCACGUCUUGACGGUACCUAAUCAGAAAGCCACGGCUAACUACGUG
rnacentral:rRNA from 1 species